CUGAAAAUUGUCCCCAUUUUCACCCAUAAUUCUUUUCUCCUUCUUCUCUCUUCUCUCUCUCUUCACUCUCUCUACGCCGCCCCAGCUCCGCCCACCACCGCCGACCGGAAACUGCCGCCGCCGGCGGACCACCUCCAAACACCUCCAAAUUCCCACCAUGUAAUCUCCACAACUUCCUCUUUCCAUAUCUCCAAACCAAAUCCUUCAAAAAUCCCUCAAACUCCUUGAAUCUUAGAUCUAGGAAAUCUUCCCGUCAUUUUUUUGCCCAAAUUCUUGAAGCUCCAACCACUAUCGCCCUACAAUACCUACAUCAAUGGAUAGAGCUCCUCAAGACCUAGCUAUUGAUACCAAUUUCACCCUGAAAAUCCGGUGACCAAAAUCCGGCCAAAUUCCGACGACCUCCCCGAACACCCUCUUUGGGCAUACCACCAUUUUUUCGGCCACAUGAAUUAUAAAAUGGUAAAAAUCCAAUUCUUUUCCGUGGUUGUUUUUUUUUUCAGAUUUUAUUUUUGUCUAUUAUUAAUUAUUUUAGCAUUAGUUUUUGAAGUUUGAAAUGUUAAAUUUUCUGUUUUUGCACUUGUUGAAGUAGUAAAAUAGUUUUGUGUUGAUAAAAGUGAGGUAGUGAAAAAUACUUAAGAGUAUAUGGUACUUGUUUGGUUGUUUAUUUACUGCUUAAAGACUCUUUAAGUACAACACUCAAAAGUCAAAUUGUUUGGUAAGAAAAUAUAGACCAUUGGACAAUGUUUGAAUAAAAGUCUGUCUUUGAAUAGUGGAGAACAGAUUUUGUUUGAAAUACUUGACAAGAUUUGAACCAGAAACUCUGGUCUUUUGAAUUUAAGAGCAGAUUUUGUAGAAAAAUCUGUCAAAAAUAUUGAUUUUUAAUUUUUUGAAAUAGCUGGUUGUUUUGAUAUAUAGGGGGACUCCAUCACAUUUCUGGAGAGCAUUUUUAUUUUGCAUUGAACAUACAAAAACAAAAAGAAAAAUUCAGCAGCUGAAGCAUCCUUUAGUAAGCUGAAAUUGUAAGUCUUAAGAGUGAAUCUUAGAGUGCAAACUUUUUAGAAAAGUAUAAAUCCUCUUUAGAGUUUGUUUCUGGGUUUCUUCUCUGAGUUUUCGGGUUGUUUUAAUAAAGAUUUGUUGCUGGUUUUGUGGCUGUUGUGCUGCUGUUUUUAUAAUGCUUUAAUUGCUGGACUAUUGUUUAUUCUUUUGUUAUCCAGGUAAUCCUUUAAGACUCGUAAUGUAUGUAUUUUCAGCAAUAGGAACAACUUGACCAUGCUGCACCAUUUAAAUGGGUUUGAUGUAAUGAAUAAUUUGACAACAAAAGAGCUUGUAUGUUAUUGUUAUGUAUCAAGCAUGUGAUAAACUGAAUGUAGUCCUUCAUAAUACUUGAAUAUUGAGUCGCAAGUUUUUGAAUGUGAUAUGUAGGUAGUUUAUGGAUUUUUAAGCAUAUUUUCAAGCUAUUGUAUCCGAGUAACAAUGCUAAGUAUGCCAUGAAUAAUUUAGGUGUAUAACACAUAGCAUGAGUUCGUUUUAGUUGCUGAAAUUUUACUGCCAACAUAUGCUUCUAGGAAUGCUGUGAUAAUUUUUUUUUGAAUCUGGCCAUUUUGCCAAAUUUGCAAAAAUGGAUAUUUUUGUAAAGUGUGUGUUUAUACAAUUGUGAC
rnacentral:lncRNA from 1 species